GUUUAAUCUAAUAUUUAAUAAUUAUAAAUAUUGAAAAUAAAUAAUUCCCUAAUAUGUAUUUCAUGUCAUUUGUAAAUACUAUUUUUGGCCACAACAGACAACAACAAUCCAGUAAUUUCAUAUAUUCACUGGCCUGAACCGAAAAGAGGAAAUGGGGGAAAUGGCCAUCCGCGUAGGAAUCGAAUCGAAACUUUUGCCAUUCGAAGCUAAUGUUCCUGUCGUUCUUGGUCCUGAAAGUUCCAGAAAAAUAUUCGGCGCACCAAUUGAGCAGGAAUUUUAUGAUGCAAUGUCCACAGAAGGCAAUGGUGCGCACCCUCACCCUGGCCAGGGGCUGGCAUCCUAAAUAUUGUAGUGUCCACUCGAAGGUUAACCAAAUAUGUUAAAAGAGAUACGUUGAGAGGUAGAGAUCGAAGAGAGGUGUGAGCAUGAGAAAGAUUAGGCAAACUCAGAUUAAUGUAGUCGAGAAGAAAACGAAUAAAUCAGUUCUGUUUAGACCAUCAAUUUAAAAGGUUUACUUUUCUUGUGCUAGCCAAAUCCGAAACCAAGAACUUUUCAGUGGCGACGUGGAUGAAAUUGAAUUAUAAAGCAGUGAAUUCUAGUAAUCAUAAGUGCAUUUUUUUCUAUUUUUUUCUGUACAUAGUAAGUUAAGACUGUACAUACAUUAGUUAGUGAAUUUUUUAAUAUCGGCCAUUUUACGCUACUCGCCAACCCUGCAUGCCUUAGGGCACUUGAGUGAUCGUAGAGGAACGCUGCGGAAAAGGAACAGUAUCAGCAUCCAGCGAUAACCAUCACCCGAUCGAGACGUCGAGAGAGAUUACGAUCUUUUGUCUCCGUUCACAUCGUUCAAGCGUAGCUGAGAAGUGAUAAGUGAGUUGACGCAGAGUAAACAAACCACAGAGUAGAGAGAGCUGAAAGUGCAUCGAAGCGUUUAUUUUCGGCGCUACGUUCAUUGAACUCUGGUGCAUCGGUAGGCUGGUGAAUCUAGUGCGAUCAUCGAUAGCUGCUGUUUUGGUUGAUUUUGGUGGACUCGGUUUGCUGCGGACGGAGUUUUUAGUGCUGUAUACUGCUGGCUGUUGUUGUUACGCUUUCCAUUCAGACGAUCACGUUGAGCUGCUGCUGUUGUUAGGAGUGUUUAUCCCUGCUUCGUGUGGAAUUGUUCGGGAGAAGACGUGUCCUAUCCGGGACAACAUAGUGGUUAAAGGAUUACCAAUUUACUAAGUAACAACGACAACAGAUUUCUCUGGGCGGCAGAAUCAUUUUGGCGCAUAAACGCCAGUUGAAACUGCCACAGUUGCAACGCGCUCGCCGAAAGAAGAUUUACCUUACUAGCGGAGAAAGCGCUCCAGGUAAAGAAAGAAGUAGCUGUUCGAAAAGAAAAAGGGAGGAUGAGGAUUCCGACGAAGACGAUUUCUACGGUUUCCCCGCGGAUUCUUUUCUUUUUCUAGACCAGCGAAGUGAGAAUGAUGAUGUUUUGCAUGGAACUCUCGAAUUUGUGCAUGAAAAUAAUGAAAUUACAAAUGAUGAAUUAAGUGUUCCACCAAGAGUGGUUUCGAAAAGAAAUUCAAGCAGGAAGAUUAAGAAAAGGAGAAAAGAAGGUUUUGUUUAUUAUUAAGAUGUUUUCAUGAAUUAUUAUUGUAAAAAAAAAUAUCUGUUUCAAAUCGAAAUGUCGAAUGUUCAUAUGAAGAGAAUUUUAAUUGAAAUAUUACCUAUCGUUUUAUUAAGGGUAAAGGACUGUAGUGUCCACUCGAAGGUUAACCAAAUAUGUUAAAAGAGAUACGUUGAGAGGUAGAGAUCGAAGAGAGGUGUGAGCAUGAGAAAGAUUAGGCAAACUCAGAUUAAUGUAGUCGAGAAGAAAACGAAUAAAUCAGUUCUGUUUAGACCAUCAAUUUAAAAGGUUUACUUUUCUUGUGCUAGCCAAAUCCGAAACCAAGAACUUUUCAAAUAUACACUGGAUUUUGUUUUUACACGAUUUACAUUUUCUCAAUUUUCCACUCAUCCUAAAUGUUUAACGUAUAUUAAUUGUCAUGUGAUUUUUCUUUGAUUUAUUCUGGAUUUUUUGAAACAUGUUGCGAAGAGAUUGGUGGCAAAUUGAAGUCACACGAUCAAAAAUACGAGCGAAAAAAAAUCGUG